AUUUUCUUGGCUUUAGAGAAAGUUCCACAUUUUUCGUAAUAAAAAGUUUAAAUAAGUGAAGGAGGCAGAAAUAGGUUAUUUUUCAAACAAAAGUUGAGAGUUCAUUAGGAGCAAAACCACACCAAAGGGGAUUUUCCAGGAGGGAAGAAAUGAUGCUUUAUUAGUAGUUUGGAGAUGCAGGUAGAAAAGAGCAACCACAAAUCAUUAAUAUGAGGAUCAAAACAAAAGAGUAUUGUCUGUAUCAAAACAAAUUGUCUGGGCGAUGUAACCUGUAUGGAAUAAAAAUGGCCAACAGCAGUAACACAAAGCACGAGGGACAAUGGAGGGGCAUUUCCUCAGCUCCUGGCUUUGUCCAGAGGGUGUUAAGCACACUAAAUUCUGUUAGACUUAAAUAACUCAGAGAAGUGCUUUGUAACUUCGAGGAUAACCAUAUUAUUUCAGUAUUAGACUAAGAUUUAUAACCAAUUAACUUUGAGAGUGGGAAAUUGAAAAAUAAGAUCUAAGUACUUCUUUGAUAAGAAGAAGGCAGACAGGUUAGAAAGGGAAACCAUGGCAAAUUGAACAGAUAGAAACAUUGAGGUGGUCGACUUAAGUUUAAAGGCAGCAAAAAUUUCAAUAAGUAUAAAUGUGCUAAAUUUGUCAAAUAAAAUACAAAGGCUAUCAGAUUGGAUAAAUGUUUUAAAACUCCAAUGAUAUUCUACUUAAUGUCACACCUAAAAUGCUGAAAGCAAAGGGAUGGAGGAAGUCCACGCCAGGCAAGUCCUAGGAGAAUGGAGAUUAAACUCUGUCAGUGUCGAGAGCAGAGGGUGAGAGACAUUUGAGAGUGACAAAGCAUCAACCCCAGAAGAUGUAAUGAUUCUAAACUGUCUGUACCUAAUAACAGGGUCUCUAUAUGUAUCAAGCAAAGAUUAAUAGAAGUAACAGUGAAGUAGGAGGCAGAACUCAACUCCAGAGGCAGGGGCUGGACACCGGGCCAGAUUGAGGACUAGCUGAAACAGGGCUAGGGAGGAAGCAGUUUUCCAUCAGACAUGCCCUCCAGUGGGCCAUGUCAGUUUACCAUUGCCAUGGCAACAUCCAGGAGUUACUGCCACUUUCCAUGGCAAUGACCCAGUGACACAAAUGUUACUACCCCUUCCCUAGAAAUUUCUGCAAAAACCACCCCUUAAUCUGCAUGCAAUUAAAAGUGGGUAUAUGCGUGACUGCAGAACUGCCCGAGUUGCUGCUCUCCGCCUCUGGGGUAGCCCUGCUCUGCAAAAGCCGUCACACAGCUGCAACACUGCUUGUUCAGUACAGCUGUUUUCUUCCACCUCUGGCCUGCCCUUGAAUUCUAUCCUGGGCAAAGCCAAUAACCCAGUGGGCUUAGCUCCGCUUUGGGGCUCACCUGCCCUGUGUCUAAAGGAGAACAGGAUAGAUCCAGGUGCACAGUGAGGGAUUUUAAAACACUUGUAUGUGAGCAAUGUUAAAACCACCAUGUGGACAAGAUGACAAUGCAUAUUUUAUAUAACUUGUGGAAAGCCACAUAGUAAACACUAUGGAAUGGCUGAUGGAGGCAGAGGGAAAGAAAGGAAGAAAGGAAAGCAGAAAAGAGGAAAAUCAGGUGAGGUGGAGGAAAGAAAAAGGGUCAGAGGCUUUGCUCAAAAGAGCAAGGAGGACCAUGUGCUAGGAGGGAAAGAUGGCGUCCACUCCUGUCUGCCCCUGCGACCAACCUGGCCAAGCAAAGCAACGCAGCAGAGUGGAGUGAGGAGAGGCAGGGAUGACAGGCAGGCUUCAUCCAGCGCUUCUCUCAAAACUGCUGCCUGUCAUUUGUGCUUUCAUUAAUUAAUAUAAUCUUAGUUUUGAUCUUAAAUCAACACUAUUUAGCACCGCACUACGUUACUAAACAAUACGUAUCCACUAAGAGAGAACUUAUACAUUGUGUAUCUAAAAUGGCACAAAUUAAAAGUAUUUUUAAGUAUUAUAAAGGUUUACAUUUAAAUGCUUUGUGUUUUACGUUUCCUUCUAUUUCCCAGGGUCCCCUUUUUCAUGCAGGGCAGAGUUUUGCUUCUAUUUCGUUUUGCUUAGGAACCCUCCCUCAAAGUUCAAGGCUAGAUGCACCUAUGAAGUUGCAGUAACUUGCUAGCCCUGGGAACCUGCACUCCAGUUAAACAUCCUACCUUUUCUGGUCACACUUUAAUGACUGGCAGCAGAGUCAGGCAAUGGGGACCUCCCCUCGCCAGGCCCUGUGCCGGGUGGGGUCUGGGUGCAAAGGCUCCCGGGAGGGUGACUGUGGGCAUGCAGGAAGAGGGGCCUGCAGCAGGGAUGUGCCCAUGGCUUCAGCAAACUUCC
rnacentral:lncRNA from 10 species